CUGCGCCACCGCGACGGGGCGCAGGCCGUACYCCCCCCCUCCCCAAUCCGCCGUGUCGGGGCGCAGGCCGCCCCCCCACACACACACGUAUCCCACGUUGUCAGGGUGCAGGCCACCCCCUCCACAUCCCCUGCUGUCGGGGCGCGCAGCCAUCCUGCACCCCCACGCCGCCAGGUGACAGGGUGCACGGGCACCCCCGCCCGUGGGUCCCCUGGUGUCACGGUGCACGGGCACGCACAGACGCACACACUCUGGUGUCGGGGUGCACAGCCACCCCCAGGCACAUAUCCCCUGGUGACAUGGUGCACAGCCACCCCCAGGCACAUAUCCCCUGGUGUCACGGUGCACGGGCACGCACAGACACAAGCGCUCUGGUUUCAGGAUGCACAGCCACCCCACACAUUCCCUGCUGUUGGGGUGUGCGGCCAUCCUGCACCCACAUAUCCCCCUGCUGUCAGGGUGUGCAGCUGUUCUGCAUCCCUACCCUGCCCUGCACCGCAUAUCCCCUGGUGUCGGGGUGCAUGGCCACACACACACACCAGCACCCCCUGGUGUCAGGGUGUGCACCCACAGCAUCAGGUUGCUCGGCCGCCCUGCACCCCUGCCCCAUGGAGCGACGAGAGGCACAGCCAUUCCUCACUCAUGUAUCCCUCAGGGCUAGGCGUAUGGCCGCACACACCAACACCCCUCUGGUUUCAGGGUGCACAGUUGCACAUACACCAUUUGUCAAGUCACAGCACCCUUACGCUUGUGUGUAAAGGUGUGGCGUGUGUGUUUCUUGGGUGUUGGGGUGCAGUCCUGCACAUGUGCACACCCACAUAUGCAUCCCUGGUGUUGGGGUACAGGCACUCGCCUGCAGCCUCUGCAUGUCAGGCUGCACAUCUAUAUAUACACACUUCCUUCAGGUGUCGGUGUGUGUGUGCACAUGCAUGCACCCCCCAGGUGUCAGGGCACACACAGCCACACGUGUGUGAAGAGUCAGACACAUGCACACCUCUUGGGUGGCAAGGGCGUAGACACACGCAUCCACAACUCCCAAGUGUCUGGGCAUGGAUAUAUACGGAUGCCCUUGGGUAUAGGGGAAGCAGACACAUGUUAUGUUCCUUGGGUGCUGGAAGCACAGGAGUGCCCAAGCUGGGAUGGAGCUACACCCAUUUUUCCUCCUCCUUUUAA
rnacentral:lncRNA from 1 species